AGCCUCUCCUGCCUCCAUUAGGCCCCAUUAGGGCGCCGUGGCGCACCGUGCCGGCCCGUCUACAAGCUCACCUUACCCUGAACCUUGGAUACACCUUUCGGAGGGUCCGAAAGAAGGCAAUAAUGUCAACAAGCGUAAGAGGAAAACUGAAAACGGUAUCAACGACACGUUUUGCCUCGCUUGGCUACGUCGUCGUUUGGCAGACAAAGAGAGAGAGCUGCCCCCGGCCCCGGCCAGGAGGCACCCGGAGGCCUCAUCUGGGACCCAGCCGUCCUCAUCUGGGACCCAGCAGUCCUCCUCUCGGAGCCAGCCGUCCUUCUAGACUCCUGGGUAGACAAAACGUCCAGGUGAAGACGGCCCAGCACCUGGACCUGGGAGCCCAGCUUAUCUCCCCACCAGGACAUGUUGAAGUGGUGCAGAGAGUCUGUGUUUGCAGAGAGGUGGCCCGCCUGGUGAACAGGAGACCCAGGACGGCCUGCCUCCUCCCAAGGUUUCUGAGUCUCAGGAGGAACCUCUUCCUCCUCCUUACAGUCGCCCGGUGGCUCGUCUGUGGCACUAAAUCAGUUUGUUGACAAGCCAAAGGAGGUUAGUGGUUGUCAUGGCCUGCCGUUCUGAUCUACACUCUGUAUUAUGGCUGGGCCAUGUGCUUAUUCUCUGGGGUUUAGAACUGGGAAUGAAAUAACAUUUCUAUAUAGGCUCAUUCAAAGAUGCAUUUUCUUUGCUCUGUCAAUUGAUUUAGGGAGCUCCCAGCUGCUUGCCAAUUCAGUCUGUGUUUGGAUCCUACGUUUAAACACGCUUCUCCAUUUGCUGCUUUAUCGGACCCGACUCUGAGGGAUGUAGCUUUGCAUAAGCUAGAUAAAGAGCUCUCUGCUAUCUCUGUUGCCAAUGCAUUAUGGAGCAUUGUCAAAGAGACUUCCCCUUGAGCUUCAUAAAUGAAACCAUUGGAAGAAUGAGACAAAACUCAUUUAUUCAAUGAUCAUCUGACUAUAAUGUAUUAUCAUAUAGAUUUUGGUCUGUUUUGCUAUAUAGUGACAUUUAGCUGUGGAGGCAUAAUUUUUCAAUCAAACGAAUGGUUUAAUAUGUCUGGGAAUAUCAUUUGGCCUCAUGUGGGCCAUUAAUCAAGUUGUUGACCUAGAGAUAGUCUACCCAAGGUCGCAGCUCCACCCAGGCUGAUCAGGCCAUAGGUCAGAGGUGACCGGGGUGAUCAUAAUGUGUGGGCUGUUAAAUGAAUCACAUGGAUGCUUUUGUUUUCUAUGUAUCCUGCUCAUUUCUUUGAUUUGUUUUAAAUACAUUGUGGAAUUGUCACGGCAACAAAGGAGAGAGACGCUUUUGGGUGGAACACAAAUUAUUUCAUGAUUUGAUUGGGUUUUUGAUUGGGGGCAGAAAUAGGGCAGAAAUUUAAAUUUACCUAAUCCUGGAAUCCUCUCAAAUUUGUCAUACACUUAGCGAAGGCUCACUAGUGUCGUGCACAUAACAACAAACCGUGUGUUAAUAGCAUGUUGGUGUGUAGUUUGUGCGACAUUUGAGCGAUGUGCUUCAUCUCUUUCUCUGUCCGCCACACCAACGUCUUUUGCAAGCGGUCCAACGCAUGCGCAUCAAGCUUCUUCCAGGAAACACUAACGUUUUGAUUUGAUCUGUACACUUGUGAAAGAUUAUUCUAAUAAAAGAUUAUUUAACA
ensembl:lncRNA